AGUGAACGCUGGCGGUAGGCCUAACACAUGCAAGUCGAACGGCAGCACAGUAAGAGCUUGCUCUUACGGGUGGCGAGUGGCGGACGGGUGAGGAAUACAUCGGAAUCUACUUUUUCGUGGGGGAUAACGUAGGGAAACUUACGCUAAUACCGCAUACGACCUACGGGUGAAAGCAGGGGAUCUUCGGACCUUGCGCGAUUGAAUGAGCCGAUGUCGGAUUAGCUAGUUGGCGGGGUAAAGGCCCACCAAGGCGACGAUCCGUAGCUGGCCUGAGAGGAUGAUCGGCCACACUGGAACUGAGACACGGUCCAGACUCCUACGGGAGGCAGCAGUGGGGAAUAUUGGACAAUGGGCGCAAGCCUGAUCCAGCCAUACCGCGUGGGUGAAGAAGGCCUUCGGGUUGUAAAGCCCUUUUGUUGGGAAAGAAAAGCAGCAGGUUAAUACCCCGCUGUUCCGACGGUACCCAAAGAAUAAGCACCGGCUAACUUCGUG
rnacentral:rRNA from 1 species